UACGAAGGGGGCUAGCGUUGCUCGGAAUCACUGAGCGUAAAGCGCACGUAGGCGGAUUGCUAAGUCAGGGGUGAAAUCCUGGAGCUCAACUCCAGAACUGCCUUUGAUACUGGCAACCUUGAGUCCGGGAGAGGUGAGUGGAACUGCGAGUGUAGAGGUGAAAUUCGUAGAUAUUCGCAAGAACACCAGUGGCGAAGGCGGCUCACUGGCCCGGUACUGACGCUGAGGUGCGAAAGCGUGGGGAGCAAACAGG
rnacentral:rRNA from 1 species